rnacentral:tRNA from 4 species
GGGCCGGUAGCUCAGCGGUAGAGCAGGAGCCUUUUAAGCUCUUGGUCACAGGUUCGAAUCCUGUCCGGCUCACAA